UACGUAGGGGGCUAGCGUUGUCCGGAAUCAUUGGGCGUAAAGCGCGCGUAGGCGGCCAGAUAAGUCCGGUGUGAAAGUCACAGGCUCAACCUGUGAAUGCCGCUGGAAACUGUCUGGCUAGAGUCCGGAAGGGGCGAGUGGAAUUCCUGGUGUAGCGGUGAAAUGCGCAGAUAUCAGGAGGAACACCAAUGGCGAAGGCAGCUCGCUGGAACGGUACUGACGCUGAGGCGCGAAAGCAUGGGGAGCGAACAGG
rnacentral:rRNA from 1 species